rnacentral:misc_RNA from 1 species
GGUCACACAAUAUGUUGCCAUUGUAUCUAUUUCAUGUGGUGAUCAACCCCACAUGCAAAACUUCCCGCAAGAACUAAACACUUCAAAUCUCCUUAUGUCAUUUAUGAUAUCCUAGAAAAUUCAAAUGGUAUGAGUGGUCAUAGUUACACAACAAAUUAUCUAAAACUAAUUCAAGGGAGGAGGGGAAUUGAGAGAACAAAAUAGAACACUAAUUCUACAAUUUACUAGGCAAUAUUUCAUGCUACACUAAAAAUUUUGAUAAACUAGAGUAGAGGAGAUAAUACAAAGUUGAACUACAGCUACAUAUUACACAAGACAUGAGUAUUAAAACUCUCUCGUCAAUUUUCUGAAGGCCCCAUUUGAUAUAGAUUACCUGAUCAAAGGGAGCACCAUCAUGA